AUGCCUUGGCAGUCAGAGGCGAUGAAAGACGUAAUAGCCUGCGAUAAGCUCCGGGGAGGCGGCAAAUAUCCUGUGAUCCGGAGAUUUCUGAAUGGGGAAACCCACCUGUCAUAAGGCAGGUAUCGUAUGAUGAAUACAUAGUCAUACGAGGCGAACCGGGAGAACUGAAACAUCUAAGUACCCCGAGGAAAAGAAAUCAACCGAGAUUCCCUCAGUAGCGGCGAGCGAACGGGGAAAAGCCCAUUAAGUCAUAUAAGUUCUAGUGGAAUGCUCUGGGAAGUGCAACCAUAGUGGGUGAUAGUCCUGUACACGAAAGGGCUUAUAUGAUGAUGUCGAGUAGGGCGGGGCACGUGAAACCUUGUCUGAAUAUGGGGGGACCAUCCUCCAAGGCUAAAUACUCCUGACUGACCGAUAGUGAACCAGUACCGUGAGGGAAAGGCGAAAAGAACCCCUGUGAGGGGAGUGAAAUAGAACCUGAAACCGUGUACGUACAAGCAGUGGGAGCCCACUUUGUUGGGUGACUGCGUACCUUUUGUAUAAUGGGUCAGCGACUUACAUUCUGUAGCGAGGUUAACCGAAUAGGGGAGCCGUAGGGAAACCGAGUCUUAACUGGGCGUCUAGUUGCAAGGUGUAGACCCGAAACCGGGUGAUCUAUCCAUGAGCAGGUUGAAGGUUGGGUAACACUAACUGGAGGACCGAACCCACUGUCGUUGAAAAGCCAGGGGAUGACUUGUGGAUAGGGGUGAAAGGCUAAUCAAACUCGGUGAUAGCUGGUUCUCCCCGAAAGCUAUUUAGGUAGCGCCUCGGACGAAUACCAUUGGGGGUAGAGCACUGUUAAGGCUAGGGGGUCAUCCCGACUUACCAAACCGAUGCAAACUCCGAAUACCAAUGAGUACUAUCCGGGAGACAGACUGCGGGUGCUAACGUCCGUAGUCAAGAGGAAAACAAUCCAGACCGCCAGCUAAGGCCCCAAAAUUAUAGUUAAGUGGGAAACGAUGUGGGAAGGCUUAGACAGCUAGGAGGUUGGCUUAGAAGCAGCCACCCUUUAAAGAAAGCGUAAUAGCUCACUAGUCGAGUCGGCCUGCGCGGAAGAUGUAACGGGGCUAAAACUAUAUGCCGAAGCUGCGGAUUUGCAAUUUAUUGCAAGUGGUAGGGGAGCGUUCUGUAAGCCGAUGAAGGUGUAUUGAGAAGUAUGCUGGAGGUAUCAGAAGUGCGAAUGCUGACGUGAGUAACGACAAUGCGAGUGAAAAACUCGCACGCUGAAAGACCAAGGGUUCCAGUCCAACGUUAAUCGGGGCUGGGUGAGUCGACCCCUAAGGCGAGGCCGAGAGGCGUAGUCGAUGGGAAAUUGGUUAAUAUUCCAAUACUUCUAUGUAAUGCGAUGAGAGGACGGAGAAGGUUAAGUCAGCCUGGCGUUGGUUGUCCAGGUGGAAGGUUGUAGGCAUGUAUCUUAGGCAAAUCCGGGGUACUCUAUGCUGAGAACUGAUAGCAAGCUGUACUUGUACAGUGAAGUGGCUGAUACCAUGCUUCCAGGAAAA
rnacentral:rRNA from 1 species